UGGUUUUCUUGCAGUGACACCGAUUGCCCGUUGCAAUGUUUGGCUCGCGCUUGCAGUUGUUGCAGAUACUCCGGAUACCAUCUAGCCCAAAUGUUUUGCAUGUGUUUCUGCACCAACUGGUACUCCUUCAAUCGAUUGUCUGGUGUUCCGGUGUGAUCGACGUCUGGUACCGCUUGCAUAUUAGAGCCGAUGAGAAAGUGUCCCGGCGUCAACGGUUCUAAAUCAGAAGGCUCAUCUGAUAAAGUAGUUAAUGGUCGAGAAUUCAAACACUGUUCCACUUGUGCCAGCAGGCUGCCUUCACCGCUGCCUCCCAUAAACCUCCGAAGUGUGGUGCCCGUGGAGGGAUAAAUUUCCAUUGGAUUUCGUUCGUCGCGUACCAAUUGAAAAUAGUAAUACGAUCGUUCUCAUCGCAUUUGAGCAUUUUGUAAAUGCGGUUCAGCUCGUGCGAUGCUCCCUUAAAUGUAGUGGCAUUAUCUGAGUGUAGCUCACUAAUUUGUCCGCGACGUGCAACUAAACGGCGUAGUGCAUUUAAAAAUGAUGUGGUGGUGAGAUCGGCUACGAGUUCAAUAUGAACGGCUCUUGUAGAAAAGCAUACAAAUAUCGCAAUAUAUGCUUUGAUUGGA